rnacentral:lncRNA from 10 species
GUGAAAUCCUCUAGGGGGUAUUCAAACUCCCAAAAAUUCUGUAACAGGGUCUUUGAUCCCCUAUGCUCAGGCCCACUCCCACACUGUGGAGUGUACUUUCAUUUUCAAUAAAACCCUUCAUUCUUUCCUUGCUGUGUUUGCUUGUGCAUUUUGUCCAAUUCUUUGUUCAAGAUGCCAAGAACCUGGACAUCCUACACUGCUAACAUAUUUUGGUGAGCUAGCCAGGAGAAAGAGUGUGUUUUCACCAGGUAAAGAAACUUUUUUAUGCUUUAAAUCUUCUGGAAACAUGAGAGAAAGACUGCCUUUGUCAUCCACACUACAAUAAAACUUCAAAAACCUUGGGCUUUGGAUUCAUGGUCUCACAAAUGAGAAGUAUCCCUCCACACUUUUGGAACUGUGCACCCAUUGGAAACCUUGAGAUAAAGCUAACCAGGGAAAUUUCUCCCAAGAAGAAAAUGGCACCUUUGAUGUGAAUAACUUUUCCUAAGUUCACAGAUGAUUAAAACUUUUACUAUCAAA